CCCUUAGACGUUCUGGGCCGCACGCGCGCUACACUGACCAGUGCAACAAGCAUCCGUCCUUGGCCGACAGGCCCGGGCAAUCUUUGAACGCUGGUCGUGAUGGGGAUAGACUUUUGCAAUUUUUGAUCUUCAACGAGGAAUUCCUAGUAAACGCAAGUCAUCAACUUGCAUUGAUUACGUCCCUGCCCUUUGUACACACCGCCCGUCGCACCUACCGAUUGAAUGGUCCGGUGAAGCCUCCGGAUUGGCGCGCACCUCGGUGCCGCCGAGAAGUUGGCUAAACCUUACCAUUUAGAGGAAGGUGAAGUCGUAACA
rnacentral:rRNA from 1 species